CGAAAGAUGGGUGGAUGGGUGAGUGGGUGGGGUCCCCUUUCUGAUGUAUAAAAACACAACUGGUAGGUUUGGGGUUAAUGUUACAAUUGGACUCCAGGAAAACACACACUGUACAUUCAAAAUAAUUCUAACCCAGUUUUAAAAUAUAAAUAAUUAAAAAGUAUUUUCCCUCUAGCACGUCUGAAUAGUAUUCUUUACUAAGAGAAAGAAGCCCAUGCUCCAUGCCGUCUUUGAUAGCUCCCUCGUGCUCCUAGAUUGACAGGUGAUACCAGGGAAGCCACUGCUUGCCUUUGUGCCUUUGGGGAGGCGGGGGUUGCAGUGGGAAGUCUGAAGGCUCGCCAUCACGAACUCCUUCUUCCUGAGAUGGGGCACUUGGCUGUGAAGCCACAGGAGGCUGGAGGGGUAGAGGCUGGGGGCAGGAAGAGGAGGAAGUGAGGAAGGGGGCGAUGCCCGGGAGGGCGCUGGGCGAGUAACCAAUUCCUUCACUGGGGGCAGGCGGGAGUCUCCAGGGUCAUUAUGGGGCAACCUGUGCAGGGAAGGGAGGAAAGGUUUCCGGAAGUCUGCCGCUCUCCCUCCUGCCUGCUCCCCUCCUCGGCCUAGCGGUUGAUUGCGAGGAGCAGCGGAAGGAAGGAUGUAUCAAACAGAAAGAAGAAAGGACCCCUGCCGGUCGACCCCUGACAUCCGACUCUGAACGGCGGCGAUCGGGAGGCCGCGGCGUGUUGCAGAUUAACAGCAGCGAGGGCAGGAGGCAAAGCAGAUGCCUCGGGAGCUGGCUGUUUCCUUUAGCCCUGAGAGCGGGCUGUAGGCACAGGUUCCAUAUCAAAGGCAACGGGAGCCAGGCUGUGGCCAUAUUACAUCAGGCAAAACUUAGAAGACGUGUUUAUGCUGAAUCUCCAGAUAGAGCAAGAGAAGCCCAGCUUGGGGGAGAUGACUGGACCUUGAAUAUCUGGGAUAAAAAGAGAUCCAUUUAUGGGACCUUUUCAGAAGAGCCUCUUAAGACACAUGUUUCAGAAUGCAGUCAAAUUCGUGCUGCUGUGUGACCAGCCUAUUUGAUUAUGCCUCCAAAUCCUAUGGAAGUAUAACAACCACAGAAGAGACAAAACCCAACAGCACCAACAACAGAGAAUCUCAGUUCAGGAAGAUAUGAAACCCUUUGUAAUAAAGAAAGCAACACGGUGAACAUUUGUGUAAUGUGUCUUUGUGGUAGAAUGAUUUAUAUUCCUUUGGCACUAUUCACAAUAGCAAA